UAACGAAGGAAGCAUGGUAAUGUGCACAUAAAUUGAAUUGGGUCCCUAGGCCUGCCCUCUCUGAUGCCAUUCGGCUUCGAUUUGAGGGUAUGGUUCUGCAACAAAACA